UACGUAGGGUGCGAGCGUUGUCCGGAAUUAUUGGGCGUAAAGGGCUGGUAGGCGGCCAACUAAGUCGGAUGUGAAAUCCCCAGGCUUAACCUGGGAACUGCAUCCGAUACUGGUUGGCUUGAAUCCGGGAGAGGGAUGCAGAAUUCCAGGUGUAGCGGUGAAAUGCGUAGAUAUCUGGAGGAAUACCGGUGGCGAAGGCGGCAUCCUGGACCGGCAUUGACGCUGAGGAGCGAAAGCUAGGGGAGCAAACGGG
rnacentral:rRNA from 1 species